rnacentral:snRNA from 10 species
AUCCAAGUGCAGGGGUUUUACGCGUAUCAGUGAGGAUUCGUCCGAGAUCGCGUUUUUGCUAGUUGAAAACUACAUACCUGACCGCUCUCAGUUGGCUUCGGCUGGCUGGGGAAUUUUUGGCAACCCACAAUCCUUUCUCGGACUGGA